GACGAACGCUGGCGGCGUGCCUAAUACAUGCAAGUCGAGCGAACGGACGAGAAGCUUGCUUCUCUGAUGUUAGCGGCGGACGGGUGAGUAACACGUGGAUAACCUACCUAUAAGACUGGGAUAACUUCGGGAAACCGUAGCUAAUACCGGAUAAUAUUUUGAACCGCAUGGUUCAAAAGUGAAAGACGGUCUUGCUGUCACUUAUAGAUGGAUCCGCGCUGCAUUAGCUAGUUGGUAAGGUAACGGCUUACCAAGGCAACGAUGCAUAGCCGACCUGAGAGGGUGAUCGGCCACACUGGAACUGAGACACGGUCCAGACUCCUACGGGAGGCAGCAGUAGGGAAUCUUCCGCAAUGGGCGAAAGCCUGACGGAGCAACGCCGCGUGAGUGAUGAAGAUCUUCGGAUCGUAAAACUCUGUUAUUAGGGAAGAACAUAUGUGUAAGUAACUGUGCACAUCUUGACGGUACCUAAUCAGAAAGCCACGGCUAACUACGUG
rnacentral:rRNA from 1 species